AUGAACGCUGGCGGCGUGCUUAACACAUGCAAGUCGAACGAUGAAGCCGGAGCUUGCUCUGGUGGAUUAGUGGCGAACGGGUGAGUAACACGUGAGUAACCUGCCCUUGACUCUGGAAUAAGCGUUGGAAACGACGUCUAAUACCGGAUACGAGCUUCCGCCGCAUGGUGAGGAGCUGGAAAGAAUUUCGGUCAAGGAUGGACUCGCGGCCUAUCAGGUAGUUGGUGAGGUAAUGGCUCACCAAGCCUACGACGGGUAGCCGGCCUGAGAGGGUGACCGGCCACACUGGAACUGAGACACGGUCCAGACUCUACGGGAGGCAGCAGUGGGGAAUAUUGCACAAUGGGCGCAAGCCUGAUGCAGCAACGCCGCGUGAGGGACGACGGCUUCGGGUUGUAAACCUCUUUUAGUAGGGAAGAAGCGAAAGUGACGGUACCUGCAGAAAAAGCACCGGCUAACUACGUGCCAGCAGCCGCGGUAAUACGUAGGGUGCAAGCGUUAUCCGGAAUUAUUGGGCGUAAAGAGCUCGUAGGCGGUUUGUCGCGUCUGCUGUGAAAACUGGGGGCUCAACCCCCAGCCUGCAGUGGGUACGGGCAGACUAGAGUGCGGUAGGGGAGAUUGGAAUUCCUGGUGUAGCGGUGGAAUGCGCAGAUAUCAGGAGGAACACCGAUGGCGAAGGCAGAUCUCUGGCCGU
rnacentral:rRNA from 1 species